rnacentral:lncRNA from 1 species
UCGAAGUUUCUGGAUCCUGGAUCUAUAAUGAAAGUAGGUGCUAUGAUGUCCAUUGUGUUGAUGGAAACACUGAGACCCUGAGUGCACCAGGGAGCAGCUGGAGAUCAGACUGCCACCUCCUCAACUGAUGACAUUCCAGAUGCCACCGGGCCCAGAUUCCCCAUCCCUCUCUUGGAGAGCCUGUGCCUAAAUCCCCCUGGGGUGGGAUGAUAAAGCCUCCUUUGACUCUCACCCCAGUAGCUUUGAAGAGUGUAUCAUUUAGGAUGAUUUCAGUCACAAGAGAAAGUUCCCCAACUAACGUUGGCUGAAACUCUUAAGACCUUCUUUCAGUAACAAUAAUUCAUCAGGUAGAGCUGCUAAGUCAGCAGCUGAUGGGGCUGUGGGGCUGUUUCCCUUUGAUUUCCUUCACUUGUCCUCAUGGUCACAAGAUGGCUGCUGGAGCCUGAAGUGCAGCAUCCAUUCAUUCAUUCAUUCAACAAAUAUUUAAUAAGUGCUACUAUGUGUUGGGCACAUUUCUCAGCAUUGGAAACACAACAGUGAAUAAAACUUAUGGAAAUCCUUGCCCACAAGGAACUUCCAUUGUAGUGGGUAAAGGGGAGAUAAUGAACAAAAUAAAUUUUAAAACUACGUAGUAUAUUAGUGACAUGUUAUAGAAAACAAUAAAAAGAAUAAAGGUAAUGAGAAGGAUAAGGAUAUUUUUAAAAUAUCCUCACUGAGAAGCUGAUAUUUGAACAAAGACCUGAAGAUGUGAAAGAAAAAUCCAGUGAAGAUCUGGAGGAAGGGUGUUCUAGGUGGGGGGGAAUAGCAAGUGCAAAGGCCCUGAGGCAGGUGUGUUCUUAGUAUGUUCUAGGGAAGCAAGGAGACCAGUAGCUGGAUUGGUGUGAUGGAGGAGGAAUGUCAUAGAAGGUAAGAUUAGAGAGAAAAAAGAGGCCAUGGGUGCUUGAAAACACACGACAGCAUGCAAAACAUGAAGCAAAGAAAGUCUUCUCCUAACGUCACUCUUUAGUUUGUCAGAGAGGAAAAUGUUUCCCAGUGGUCCAGCUCUACCCCAAAGACUUUCCCUUCCAUUUCACUGGCCAGACCUGGGUCACAUGGCCACCCCAAACCAAUCACUGGCAUGAUUCAUCCCUAGGAUGCGGGCCCCCAGCACGUUGCUGAACACUUCUUUCUGCUUCUCUCUCAGGUCUCUGGUCCACAAAAAAUGUCUCUUCCACUGGAAAAAAAAAAACAAAACCCAAUUUUUAACCAUGGAAAUUUGAAGCAUAUUCCAAGUAGAGAGAAUGACGUAAUAAACCCCAGUUCAGAAGAUCCAACUGGGGGAGGGGCUUGGAGUACUGUGACAGUCCCUCCUCCCAAGCAAAGCCCCUCUGAGCCCAGAGCAAGCAUG